rnacentral:rRNA from 1 species
GUUGGAAACGACUGCUAAUACCGCAUAAGCCCACGGCUCGGCAUCGAGCAGGGAAAAGGAGCAAUCCGCUUUGAGAUGGCCUCGCGUCCGAUUAGCUAGUUGGUGAGGUAACGGCCCACCAAGGCGACGAUCGGUAGCCGGACUGAGAGGUUGAACGGCCACAUUGGGACUGAGACACGGCCCAGACUCCUACGGGAGGCAGCAGUGGGGAAUAUUGCACAAUGGGGGAAACCCUGAUGCAGCGACGCCGCGUGGAGGAAGAAGGUCUUCGGAUUGUAAACUCCUGUUGUUGAGGAAGAUAAUGACGGUACUCAACAAGGAAGUGACGGCUAACUACGUGCCAGCAGCCGCGGUAAAACGUAGGUCACAAGCGUUGUCCGGAAUUACUGGGUGUAAAGGGAGCGCAGGCGGGAAGACAAGAUGGAAGUGAAAUCCAUGGGCUCAACCCAUGAACUGCUUUCAAAACUGUUUUUCUUGAGUAGUGCAGAGGUAGGCGGAAUUCCCGGUGUAGCGGUGGAAUGCGUAGAUAUCGGGAGGAACACCAGUGGCGAAGGCGGCCUACUGGGCACCAACUGACGCAGAGGCUCGAAAGCGUGGGUAGCAAACAGGAUUAGAUACCCUGGUAGUCCACACCGUAAACGAUGAUUACUAGGUGUUGGAGGAUUGACCCCUUCAGUGCCGCAGUUAACACAAUAAGUAAUCCACCUGGGGAGUACGACCGCAAGGUUGAAACUCAAAGGAAUUGACGGGGGCCCGCACAAGCAGUGGAGUAUGUGGUUUAAUUCGACGCAACGCGAAGAACCUUACCAAGUCUUGACAUCCUGCGGCGGUGCUGGAAACAGUACUUUCCUUCGGGACGCAGAGACAGGUGGUGCAUGGUUGUCGUCAGCUCGUGUCGUGAGAUGUUGGGUUAAGUCCCGCAACGAGCGCAACCCUUAUGGUCAGUUACUACGCAAGAGGACUCUGGCCAGACUGCCGUUGACAAAACGGAGGAAGGUGGGGAUGACGUCAAAUCAUCAUGCCCUUUAUGACUUGGGCUACACACGUACUACAAUGGCGUUAAACAAAGAGAAGCAAGACCGCGAGGUGGAGCAAAACUCAGAAACAACGUCCCAGUUCGGACUGCAGGCUGCAACUCGCCUGCACGAAGUCGGAAUUGCUAGUAAUCGCAGAUCAGCAUGCUGCGGUGAAUACGUUCCCGGGCCUUGUACACACCGCCCGUCACACCAUGAGAGCCGGGGGGACCCGAAGUCGGUAGUCUAACCGCAAGGAGGACGCCGCCGAAGGUAAAACUGGUGAUUGGGGUGAAGUCGUAACAAGGUA